rnacentral:rRNA from 1 species
CCUACGGGUGGCAGCAGUGAGGAAUAUUGGUCAAUGGGCGGGAGCCUGAACCAGCCAAGCCGCGUGAGGGAAGAAGGUACAGCGUAUCGUAAACCUCUUUUGUCAGGGAACAAAGGCGGGGACUAGUCCCCGGAUGAGGGUACCUGAAGAACAAGCAUCGGCUAACUCCGUGCCAGUAGCCGCGGUAAUACGGAGGAUGCGAGCGUUAUCCGGAUUUAGUGGGGUUAAAGGGUGCGCAGGCGGCCUGUUAAGUCAGCGGGAAAAGCCCGGGGCUCAACCCCGGCGAGCCGGUGAAACUGGCGGGCUGGAGUUGGAGAGAAGUACGCGGAAUGCGCGGUGUAGCGGUGAAAUGCUUAGAUAUCGCGCAGAACCCCGAUUGCGAAGGCAGCGUACCGGCUCCACACUGACGCUGAGGCACGAAAGCGUGGGUAUCGAACAGGAUUAGAUACCCUUGUAGUC